rnacentral:rRNA from 1 species
ACGCCGCGGUGAAUACGUUCCCGGGCCUUGUACACACCGCCCGUCACACCACGAGAGUUUGUAACACCCGAAGUCGGUGAGGUAACCUUUUGGAGCCAGCCGCCUAAGGUGGGAUAGAUGAUUGGGGUGAAGUCGUAACAAGGUAGCCGUAUCGGAAGGUGCGGCUGGAUCACCUCCUUU